CCUACGGGAGGCAGCAGUAGGGAAUCUUCCACAAUGGACGAAAGUCUGAUGGAGCAACGCCGCGUGAGUGAAGAAGGGUUUCUGCUCGUAAAGCUCUGUUGGUAGUGAAGAAAGAUAGAGGUAGUAACUGCCCUUUAUUUGACGGUACUUACUUAGAAAGUCACGGCUAACUACGUCCCAGCAGCCGCGGUAAUACGUAGGUGGCAAGCGUUGUCCGGAUUUAUUGGGCGUAAAGCGAGUGCAGGCGGUUCAAUAAGUCUGAUGUGAAAUCCUUCGGCUCAACCGGAGAAUUGCAUCAGAUACUGUUGAACUUGAGUGCAGAAGAGGAGGGUGGAACUCCAUGUGUAGCGGUGGAAUGCGUAGAUAUAUGGAAGAACACCAGUGGCGAAGGCGGCUCUCUGGGCUACGACUGACGCUGAGGCUCGAAAGCAUGGGUAGCGAACAGGAUUAGAUACCCCUGUAGUC
rnacentral:rRNA from 1 species